UAUGAAAAACAAGCAUACUACAUCGCAGAAAGUGCUCUGAAUAUUUACAAUUUACAAUUUGACCUGACGAGCUGGCUAUCGCCUUGCAUGGUUGACUCUGCCGUCUGUGUGGCAAUGUGUGUAUUAAACGAUGUAAGUCGCUUUGGAUAAAAGCAUCUGCUAAAUGCCCUAAUUGUAAAUUGGAAUAUUUAAGUUCUAGGCUUGUUUUAUUUGAGACCUUAAAACAUGGCUCAAACUUACAAAACAUUGAGUACAACUUCUGUAGCUUUACAAAAAGAACCUGCUAAAACUUCUGUAAAAAUAAAUAAAUAAAAUAUAUAUAAAUAAAUGUUACUGUUUUACAGAGGAAGCUUUUCAAAAGUGUAACAAAAAAGUGCAAUCUUACAACUGUAAAGUUGAAUCAACGCAUUAAAUGAAACUAUAACAGUCCACUUUGAAAAUGAAAACUAACUGCAGCCUCUAACACUAGCCAAUCAUUCCUCAUCCUCCAUCCCCUCUCCCUCAACGUCCAUCUCUUUAACCAUCCUUGCAUGUUUGGCUGCGGCAAAGUGGUUUUCCAGCGUCGACUUCCGCCUGUGGUCCAACACGCAGUUGAAACUGCUUUGCACAGUCUUUUGCAAUUAUCUUUGUUGGCAAAUGAGACCGCUUCAUCUUGCCUUCGUCGCGGGGUUUGCGAUGACGUUCACGUCGCGUAAUUACGUCACUUCAUGACGUUCCCUGGCAACAGGGGGAAAUGGCUGCUUUUUUCGCGGAAAUUGGCAAUUUAUGCGGUGAAAGUGCGGCAUAUUUGAAAAAAUGCGGCCCCCGCAUGAAUAUGCAGACUUAGGCUGAUUAUGCGUUGAAUUAUGCGAUCGCAUAAUC